rnacentral:tRNA from 1 species
GGCCCAAUAGUAUAGUCGCAUUAUACUCCCUUCGGGACAUUACGAAUUCUCUCAGGGGAGCCCUGAUUUGGGAGAGGUCCCGGGUUCAAUUCCCGGUUGGGCCC